rnacentral:rRNA from 1 species
AGUGAACGCUGGCGGUAGGCCUAACACAUGCAAGUCGAACGGCAGCACAGUAAGAGCUUGCUCUUACGGGUGGCGAGUGGCGGACGGGUGAGGAAUACAUCGGAAUCUACUUUUUCGUGGGGGAUAACGUAGGGAAACUUACGCUAAUACCGCAUACGACCUACGGGUGAAAGCAGGGGAUCUUCGGACCUUGCGCGAUUGAAUGAGCCGAUGUCGGAUUAGCUAGUUGGCGGGGUAAAGGCCCACCAAGGCGACGAUCCGUAGCUGGUCUGAGAGGAGGGUCUGCCACACUGGAACUGAGACACGGUCCAGACUCCUACGGGAGGCAGCAGUGGAGUAUAUUGGACAGUGGGCGCAAGCCUGGUCCAACCAUACCACGUGGGUGGAGGAGGCCUUCGGGUUGUGAAGCCCUUUUGUUGGGAAAGAAAAGCAGCAGGUUAAUACCCCGCUGUUCUGACGGUACCCAAAGAAUAAGCACCGGCUAACUUCGUG